rnacentral:lncRNA from 1 species
AUAACUUUGUUCAAUGGGUGUUUUAAUAGGUUUACAAGCUAAAUACCCAAACUCACUUAGAAGUUCUAAGCAAUAUUUUCUUUGAUUCAAACACACACCAGACUUGUUAUACAAAACCUCAAUACCCAAGAAAUAUUUCAACUUACCUAAGUCUUUGAUUUGAAAAUUCAAAUUCAAAACACCCUUAAUUUUAUUCACUUCAUCAAUAUUAUUCCCAGUAACAACAAUAUCAUCCACAUACACAAGAAGCACAAUAAACACACCAUUUCUAGACAACACAUACAUAGAAUGGUCACAUUUACUUUGCACAAAACCAUAAUCAACAAGAACACUGCUCAACUUUUCAUUCCACUUCCUAGGGGCCUGUUUCAGCCCAUACAACGAUUUAACCAAUUUACAAACUCUAGUCUCAUCAGGAGAAUAAUAACCCUUAGGCAAACACAUAUACACAUCUUCAUUAAUAGUGCCAUACAAGAAGGCAUUAUUAAUGUCAAGCUGAAACAUAGGCCAAUCAUUUUGAACAGCAAGGGCAAUUAUACAUCUCACAGUUACCAUUUUCACUACCGGUGAAAAGGUUUCCCCAAAAUCCAAGCCUUCCCUUUGAUUAAACCCCUUGGCCACAAGUCUAGCUUUGAACCUUUCUAUUUCUCCACUAGACUUGUACUUGACCUUAUAAACCCAUUUACAGCCAAUGGGUUUUCUACCAGGGGGUAAAUCAACAAGUGUCCAGGUGUUAUUUCUGAAUAAGGCCUCCAUUUCCUUAUUCAUUGCCUCGACCCACCUAGGGUCUUUAAGUUUAAUAACCAUGUAAUCACAACUGAAUUACACCUUUCCCACUGAUUUGCUAAGACCUGAUCAUCUUUUGGUUUUAUACAUUUACCAUCAAUAAACCCAUAUUUAUUUUUUGCUUCUAAAGCAAGUCUCAUAGCAUUAGACCAGACAGGGUAAUUUUCAGUUCCUUUUAACUUUAUACUAACAAUGGUUAGGGUACUAGAGUCACUAGGGUGAAGGUACAGAGGGUCUCCAAUAUCAAGUUUGCUAAUCAUAGUAGCAGAGGUACUAGUAUCCCCCAUGAUCACAAACAGAUACACACCAAACAAACAACAGAUAAUCAAACAACAAGAAGACACAAAACAAACACUCAAAAAAGGCUAACUGUGACAGAGGCCAGAUUCCAGGUUCGUCACUCUAAAGGUGCCUGGACAAGCGUAUCACAGGAGCACAAACAAACAAGAAAUAUCAAACAAACAACAAACAAGGUGCCGGUCCUCACUACCCCGACUUCAACUAAUCAACCAACAAGACAAGAAAAACUAACUACAGAGAAGGAAAGAUCUCACAGUGGGUGCAAGUCUUCACACAAGAUGACAACUGUAACCUUCUAGGGUUACAAGUCAAUCACCAACAGCAAUGAACUAACACUGGUUGGUUUGCUCUGAAUCCUUCUAGGGUUUCAGAGACCAACGCAGUCUUCUCACAGAUUCCAAUGAAGGACCCAAGCAAAUCCUCCGAUUAGGGUUUCACAAACCCUAACUCAAUAUCACCCCCAAGAUCAACCAACUAGGGUUUCUCAAGAUCAGAAACCCUAAGACAACCUACAAGAAAAAACACAAAAGAGAUAUGAAACAGCGGAAGAACAAUCAAUCAACCAAGAGCUUGUUUAGCUCUGAUACCAUGUAGAAAACUUAUGGUAUCAAUCACACAGAACAAGAACAAAGCAAUAGCGACAAAACAGUGACCAAAAUCUUAUUAUUCACCCAAACCAGAAAACACCCCCCAAUACCCAAUGAUCUUACUAAAUGUAAGAUCUAUAUGAACAGAUGUUCAGAUCAACUGAUUUAAUCAGUUGAUCUAUAUGAAUACAAUACAAACAAGAACAAUACAGAAAGAAACAACCUGAUCUACAAAGCUUGAUCUCACAGUUGAGAUCUCACCAACAACACCAGCAGAUCAGUACAAUACAACAACAAGAAAUACAAAGGGUGAAACUAGAUCGGAGUGAAUGUGGAAGAUGAACAGAGAUGAUGGAUCUAGAACAAUGAGAGAGAAACUCUCAUUAUAUACCACAAAUAUCUAAUGUUACAUCCAGCACCCUUGAACUAUCUCCCAAUAUACACCGACUCAAUGAAAGUUGCAAUAAGGCCCUCCAACUAUAUCAAUCUGUUACAACAACUUUGUCAAUCAGUUAGAGAUUAUAAAAUGGAAUAUUUGAAUGAACACUUUAUAUAAAAACAAUAUAAGCUAUCAUUCUUUCAACA